rnacentral:rRNA from 1 species
AUUGAACGCUGGCGGCAGGCCUAACACAUGCAAGUCGAGCGAGCGGCGGACGGGUGAGUAAUGUCUGGGAAACUGCCUUAUGGAGGGGGAUAACUACUGGAAACGGUAGCUGAUACCGCAUACCAUCAGGUGUGCCCAGAUGGGAUUAGCUAGUAGGUGGGGUAACGGAUCACCUAGGCGACGAUCCCUAGCUGGUCUGAGAGGAUGACCAGUCACACUGGAACUGAGACAAGGUCCAGACUCCUCCGGGAGGGAGCGGUGGGGAAAAUAGCACAAGGGGAGCAAGGCAAGUGCGGCCAUGCCGAGUGGGUGAAGAAGGGACUCGGGUUGUAAAGCACUAUCAGUGGGGAGGCGUUACCCGAAGAAGAAGGACCGGCUAACUCCGUGCCAGCAGCCGCGGUAAUUC